CCUACGGGAGGCAGCAGUGGGGAAUUUUGGACAAUGGGCGCAAGCCUGAUCCAGCCAUGCCGCGUGCGGGAAGAGGGCCUUCGGGUUGUAAACCGCUUUUGUCAGGGAAGAAAAGGUUCUGGUUAAUACCUGGGACUCAUGACGGUACCUGAAGAAUAAGCACCGGCUAACUACGUGCCAGCAGCCGCGGUAAUACGUAGGGUGCAAGCGUUAAUCGGAAUUACUGGGCGUAAAGCGUGCGCAGGCGGUUAUGCAAGACAGAGGUGAAAUCCCCGGGCUCAACCUGGGAACUGCCUUUGUGACUGCAUAGCUAGAGUGCGGCAGAGGGGGAUGGAAUUCCGCGUGUAGCAGUGAAAUGCGUAGAUAUGCGGAGGAACACCGAUGGCGAAGGCAAUCCCCUGGGCCUGCACUGACGCUCAUGCACGAAAGCGUGGGGAGCAAACAGGAUUAGAUACCCUGGUAGUCCACGCCCUAAACGAUGUCAACUGGUUGUUGGGAGGGUUUCUUCUCAGUAACGUAGCUAACGCGUGAAGUUGACCGCCUGGGGGAGGUACGGCCGCGAGUAGAACGUACAAGUAGAGUUAGACGGCGUGAGACGUAGCCGACGGACGACGACGAGGGGAGGAGGG
rnacentral:rRNA from 1 species